rnacentral:rRNA from 1 species
AUUGAACGCUGGCGGCAUGCCUUACACAUGCAAGUCGAACGGCAGCACGGGUGCUUGCACCUGGUGGCGAGUGGCGAACGGGUGAGUAAUACAUCGGAACGUACCUUAUCGUGGGGGAUAACGCAGCGAAAGCUGUGCUAAUACCGCAUACGCCCUGAGGGGGAAAGCGGGGGAUCGCAAGACCUCGCGCGAUUAGAGCGGCCGAUGCCUGAUUAACUUGUUGGUGGGGUAAAAGCCCACCAAGGCGACGAUCAGUAGCUGGUCUGAGAGGACGAUCAGCCACACUGGGACUGAGACACGGCCCAGACUCCUACGGGAGGCAGCAGUGGGGAAUUUUGGACAAUGGGGCAACCCUGAUCCAGCAAUGCCGCGUGAGUGAAGAAGGCCUUCGGGUUGUAAAGCUCUUUUGUCAGGGAAGAAACACCGGCUCUAACACAGUCUGGGAAUGACGGUACCUGAAGAAUAAGCACCGGCUAACUACGUGCCAGCCGCCGCGGUAA